GUGCUGUCUUUGGCAGCACAUGCACCAGAGUUGGAACAAUACAGAGAAGAAUAGCAUGGCCCCUGUGCAAGGAUGACACAAAAUUAAAAAGCAAUAGAAAAAAAAGUU
ensembl:snRNA U6 U6 spliceosomal RNA